rnacentral:misc_RNA from 1 species
CUGAUUUAGUAGAUGACCGAAAAGUACGUUCAAGUCUUGUUUGGUUUUCCUUUUCUACUUAUUUAUUUUUAUUUCUUUUGCUGUUGGUUUCAGAUUUCCUAUUUCAUCAUCUGUGUUUUAUGUGUCUAUUAUAUUUCAAAGCCAUGCAUAGUUGAAUGCUCUGGUCCACGUGUUCAUUUCAAUUGAAAUGGAGUGUUAUUACCUGCAUUUGUUUGCUUUUUGGUUGUAUCAUCAUGCAUACAUUUCUUCUUUAUUUCUGGAUUUUCAAAAUGCCAUUAGUAAUGGAUCUCUCUCCCCAACAUGUUAUUCAAUUGCUGUUGUGGAUGCAAUUAUGGUGUUGCAGACUUGUGGCUAGCUCUUCUGUACAUCUUUUUAUUUUUUUAUUUUUUUA